UGGGGAAUAUUGCACAAUGGGCGAAAGCCUGAUGCAGCAACGCCGCGUGAGUGAUGAAGGUCUUCGGAUUGUAAAGCUCUGUCUUUUGGGACGAUAAUGACGGUACCAAAGGAGGAAGCCACGGCUAACUACGUGCCAGCAGCCGCGGUAAUACGUAGGUGGCGAGCGUUGUCCGGAUUUACUGGGCGUAAAGGGUGCGUAGGCGGAUGUUUAAGUGAGAUGUGAAAUACCCGGGCUUAACUUGGGUGCUGCAUUCCAAACUGGAUAUCUAGAGUGCAGGAGAGGAGAAUGGAAUUCCUAGUGUAGCGGUGAAAUGCGUAGAGAUUAGGAAGAACACCAGUGGCGAAGGCGAUUCUCUGGACUGUAACUGACGCUGAGGCACGAAAGCGUGGGUAGCAAACAGGAUUAGAUACCCUGGUAGUCCACGCCGUAAACGAUGAGUACUAGGUGUAGGAGGUAUCGACCCCUUCUGUGCCGCAGUAAACACAU
rnacentral:rRNA from 1 species